rnacentral:rRNA from 1 species
GUCGUCUGAGUACUAUGUAAUAGUUAAAACUUUCAACAACGGAUCUCUUGGUUCUGGCAUCGAUGAAGAACGCAGCGAAAUGCGAUAAGUAAUGUGAAUUGCAGAAUUCAGUGAAUCAUCGAAUCUUUGAACGCACAUUGCGCCCCUUGGUAUUCCGGGGGGCAUGCCUGUUCGAGCGUCAUUU